CACAAGCGGUGGAGCAUGUGGUUAAUUCGAAGCAACGCGAAGAACCUUACCAGGCCUUGACAUGCAGAGAACUUUCCAGAGAUGGAUUGGUGCCUUCGGGAACUCUGACACAGGUGCUGCAUGGCUGUCGUCAGCUCGUGUCGUGAGAUGUUGGGUUAAGUCCCGUAACGAGCGCAACCCUUGUCCUUAGUUACCAGCACGUUAUGGUGGGCACUCUAAGGAGACUGCCGGUGACAAACCGGAGGAAGGUGGGGAUGACGUCAAGUCAUCAUAGCCCUUACGGCCUGGGCUACACACGUGCUACAAUGGUCGGUACAAAGGGUUGCCAAGCCGCGAGGUGGAGCUAAUCCCAUAAAACCGAUCGUAGUCCGGAUCGCAGUCUGCAACUCGACUGCGUGAAGUCGGAAUCGCUAGUAAUCGUGAAUCAGAAUGUCACGGUGAAUACGUUCCCGGGCCUU
rnacentral:rRNA from 1 species